AUUGAACGCUGGCGGCAGGCCUAACACAUGCAAGUCGAGCGGAUGAAGGGAGCUUGCUCCUGGAUUCAGCGGCGGACGGGUGAGUAAUGCCUAGGAAUCUGCCUGGUAGUGGGGGAUAACGUCCGGAAACGGGCGCUAAUACCGCAUACGUCCUGAGGGAGAAAGUGGGGGAUCUUCGGACCUCACGCUAUCAGAUGAGCCUAGGUCGGAUUGGCUAGUUGGUGGGGUAAAGGCCUACCAAGGCGACGAUCCGUAACUGGUCUGAGAGGAUGAUCAGUCACACUGGAACUGAGACACGGUCCAGACUCCCACGGGAGGCAGCAGUGGGGAAUAUUGGACAAUGGGCGAAAGCCUGAUCCAGCCAUGCCGCGUGUGUGAAGAAGGUCUUCGGAUUGUAAAGCACUUUAAGUUGGGAGGAAGGGCAGUAAGUUAAUACCUUGCUGUUUUGACGUUACCAACAGAAUAAGCACCGGCUAACUUCGUG
rnacentral:rRNA from 1 species